rnacentral:rRNA from 1 species
UGCUGGAGGUAUCAGAAGUGCGAAUGCUGACAUAAGUAACGAUAAAGCGGGUGAAAAGCCCGCUCGCCGGAAGACCAAGGGUUCCUGUCCAACGUUAAUCGGGGCAGGGUGAGUCGACCCCUAAGGCGAGGCCGAAAGGCGUAGUCGAUGGGAAACGGGUUAAUAUUCCCGUACUUGGUGUUACUGCGAAGGGGGGACGGAGAAGGCUAUGUUGGCCGGGCGACGGUUGUCCCGGUUUAAGCGUGUAGGUGUGUGUUCCAGGUAAAUCCGGUUCACUUUAACACUGAGGCGUGAYGACGAGGCACUACGGUGCUGAAGCAACAAAUGCCCUGCUUCCAGGAAAAGCCUCUAAGCAUCAGGUAACAUCAAAUCGUACCCCAAACCGACACAGGUGGUCAGGUAGAGAAUACCAAGGCGCUUGAGAGAACUCGGGUGAAGGAACUAGGCAAAAUGGUGCCGUAACUUCGGGAGAAGGCACGCUGACAYGUAGGUGAAGUGAUUUACUCAUGGAGCUGAAGUCAGUCGAAGAUACCAGCUGGCUGCAACUGUUUAUUAAAAACACAGCACUGUGCAAACACGAAAGUGGACGUAUACGGUGUGACGCCUGCCCGGUGCCGGAAGGUUAAUUGAUGGGGUCAGCGCAAGCGAAGCUCCUGAUCGAAGCCCCGGUAAACGGCGGCCGUAACUAUAACGGUCCUAAGGUAGCGAAAUUCCUUGUCGGGUAAGUUCCGACCUGCACGAAUGGCGUAAUGAUGGCCAGGCUGUCUCCACCCGAGACUCAGUGAAAUUGAACUCGCUGUGAAGAUGCAGUGUACCCGCGGCAAGACGGAAAGACCCCGUGAACCUUUACUAUAGCUUGACACUGAACAUUGAGCCUUGAUGUGUAGGAUAGGUGGGAGGCUUUGAAGYGUGGACGCCAGUCUGCAUGGAGCCGACCUUGAAAUACCACCCUUUAAUGUUUGAUGUUCUAACGUGGACCCGURAUCCGGGUUGCGGACAGUGUCUGGUGGGUAGUUUGACUGGGGCGGUCUCCUCCUAAAGAGUAACGGAGGAGCACGAAGGUUGGCUAAUCCUGGUCGGACAUCAGGAGGUUAGUGCAAUGGCAUAAGCCAGCUUGACUGCGAGCGUGACGGCGCGAGCAGGUGCGAAAGCAGGUCAUAGUGAUCCGGUGGUUCUGAAUGGAAGGGCCAUCGCUCAACGGAUAAAAGGUACUCCGGGGAUAACAGGCUGAUACCGCCCAAGAGUUCAUAUCGACGGCGGUGUUUGGCACCUCGAUGUCGGCUCAUCACAUCCUGGGGCUGAAGUAGGUCCCAAGGGUAUGGCUGUUCGCCAUUUAAAGUGGUACGCGAGCUGGGUUUAGAACGUCGUGAGACAGUUCGGUCCCUAUCUGCCGUGGGCGCUGGAGAACUGAGGGGGGCUGCUCCUAGUACGAGAGGACCGGAGUGGACGCAUCACUGGUGUUCGGGUUGUCAUGCCAAUGGCACUGCCCGGUAGCUAAAUGCGGAAGAGAUAAGUGCUGAAAGCAUCUAAGCACGAAACUUGCCCCGAGAUGAGUUCUCCCUGAGACUU